AUGCAGAAACAUUCGUGCAUGUGUCUUUAAAUGCAAAUGAGCUGCUGCUCCCCACCCCACUUUCCAGAAGAGGGCGGAGCCUGUACAACUACUAGCAGCCUACCUCUGACAAAAACUAACAAAACAAUGUUUGGUUUUGAUUAUCAUCUCUAUAGUGGCCAUGCUCAUGAACAUUGCAGUUCUUCAUCAUGAAAGUCUAUUAUCUGAAUGCGUUUUAAAACUAUAGGCCUAUCAGUUUCUAAUUGAUCAUUUUCUGAGCGCACACAUCUAAAGCACGCACACAGAAAGCUGGCUGUCAGACGGCACGUCUUGUGAGUAUUAAUCUAACUUCUCUUUCAUGUCUUAUUGUGUUUAAACUGUCAAAUACACACAAGGUUAUGUCAAAAACACAGAAAGUUCACAUAAACACAGUCGGUUAUGUCUGUGAAUGUAAACAGCACGGACAGAAAUCAAUGACUAUGUACCACAAAAUUUGUGGGAAAAGACACAUUUUUUUCAAGAUGUUUCCAACUCUGACUUUGAACCAGUUCAAUAGAAUGGUUCAUAAAUAUUGUAGUUUGGAUGUUUUCAUUGUGAUUAGCUGGCUGAGAUUACAAACGUUUAUAACAUCAUUUUACUUAUGGCAUUCAGAAUCAAAGCUUGCCUCUUUCCAGCUGUAACUGCCUAUAUCUGUAAUGAUUAUAUUGUAUGUUGAAAGAAAAGAGCAGAUUAAACACACUCGACUCGUUACAGACACCCCAAAGCGGAGACAUUUUGUUGUCAGCGGCACUGUUGUCAGUCAGUUUUGCCACUGUAGUGGACAUUCACCGUAACAGAAUAAAUUAUUAUUUCUUAUAGCCUAUAUCUGCUGUAUCAGAACUAUUUCACUGCAGACCUUCAUGACUAUGUGUCAAGGUUAUCUGAUAUUGCAUGCCUUUAACAAUAUCAGAUAAUUUGACCUUUAUGACAAGGCAUGGUUAGUUCAAUCAAUGUGGGACUCGAUUCCAUAAAGAAUCGAUUCCUCAAAUCGGGCCCGUUGGGAAUCGAGUCCUAAAAAUAGUCGUAUUCAAUUCAAAGGUGGCGCUAAAAUUCAUUCAUUUCGAUCUCCAAAAAUGCCAACGAAGACAUGGAAUGGCAAUGUAAUGGCUAAGAACGCUGUCUUUUAAAAGUUAAACUUUUUUUGUUAACUUGACAUGGCAUUUUAAAAACGUGGCGACCAUGCGCGAGACGCUGAAAGAGACGCCUGUCUAGUGCAUGUUUACAUAGACAAACAAAUGUAACGCAAUGCCGUAGAACGCAAAAACGCUACUGUAUGUGAACCCUCCCUUAAUGUGGUGAGCAGGACCCGUACCAUGUCUUGCUUAAGAAGACAUGCGGCAAUGUGUUACCUCUUCAAUGGACAGACAUUUUCACGCCUCCAGUCCAGCCUGGUUGAAUGAGUCUGCAUCUAAACCCAACGAUAAUAUCAGGGGCUUUCAAAGACAGUAUUCAUGUGGGUUUCAGUACAUGUAAAAGCACUGAAGAUGAACCACCAGACCACGUACAAGAGGUGACAGCCUUGUAUGAGCAAAAAAGCCUUCACUGUAAGAUGACGUAAAGCAGCAGAUAGUUCCCGAAAACUCCCACAAGGACCACAAGAGCGUAGCACGGGAUGAUGAGAGGUUUAAAAGACUGAAGGAGCUCCACGCCAACAAACUGAGGA